GGGUGCGAUCAUACCAGCACUAAUGCACCGGAUCCCAUCAGAACUCCGCAGUUAAGCGUGCUUGGGCGAGAGUAGUACUAGGAUGGGUGACCUCUUGGGAAGUCCUCGUGUUGCACCCC
rnacentral:rRNA from 1 species